rnacentral:rRNA from 1 species
GACGUAGGGCGCGAGCGUUGUCCGGAUUUAUUGGGCGUAAAGAGCUCGUAGGCGGCUUGUCGCGUCGAAUGUGAAAACUCGGGGCUCAACUCCGAGCUUGCAUUCGAUACUGCCGGACUAGAGUUCGGAAGAGGCGAGUGGAAUUCCCGGUGUAGCGGUGAAAUGCGCAGAUAUCGGGAGGAACACCUAUGGCGAAGGCAGCUCGCUGGGACGUUACUGACGCUGAGACGCGAAAGCGUGGGGAGCAAACAGG